rnacentral:tRNA from 1 species
GGCGACGUACCCAAGUGGCUAAGGGAGCGGUUUGCAAAACCGUCAUGCACCGGUUCGAAUCCGGUCGUCGCCUCCA